rnacentral:rRNA from 1 species
UACGUAGGUGGCAAGCGUUGCUCGGAAUCACUGGGCGUAAAGGGUGCGUAGGCGGGUCUUUUAAGUCAGGGGUGAAAUCCUGGAGCUCAACUCCAGAACUGCCUUUGAUACUGAAGAUCUUGAGUUCGGGAGAGGUGAGUGGAACUGCGAGUGUAGAGGUGAAAUUCGUAGAUAUUCGCAAGAACACCAGUGGCGAAGGCGGCUCACUGGCCCGAUACUGACGCUGAGGCACGAAAGCGUGGGAGCAACAGG